ACAGUACUAAUUUUGUUUUAUACAGUAAUUUAGACACAGCACUCUUUCAGAAAUAUCUGGUUUCCCUCAUUUAAUAUUUAUAUCUGAGAAUCAUAAUUUGUUUUUUCUUUUCCUGAGGAUGAUGUACAAUUUCAUUUGACAUUUAUCUUGAUUCAAGGACAGUGUUAAUUCAUUUCUGCUUGGCCUUGUAACGUCUGUUAUUCAGUGGAAGGGAUUGUCUGCACCUCUGUAUGAAACUCACUUGUUGACUUGCAAUAUAAUGCUCUUUUAAAUUGAAGGAUUUUCAAUUUUCCUUUAUUUGACACUAUGUUGUUGAUGAUUUUACUUCAGAUUCUGGAUUAUGCACUGCUGGUUUAUUAGCAAAAGAUGCUGAGGAAUACUGUGAUGAUGCUCAGUAACCUCAUGUUGACAACUCCAAGGAAAUUGUAAUUAAUUGGUAGACACGACUAGAAAAGGAAGACAAAAAUCUAAUUGUGCUUUUAGGACUGUACUGAUGUCUGCAAUAUACUACCAU